rnacentral:pre_miRNA from 13 species
GCUGUCUCCAUGGCAACCGUGGCUUUAGAUUGUUACUGUAGCAACAACAUCACUGGUAACAGUCUACAGCCAUGGUCGCUAGGGGGCGGA